AGCGAACGCUGGCGGCAGGCCUAACACAUGCAAGUCGAACGAACCUUUCGGGGUUAGUGGCGGACGGGUGAGUAACACGUGGGAACGUGCCUUUAGGUUCGGAAUAACUCAGGGAAACUUGUGCUAAUACCGAAUGUGCCCUUCGGGGGAAAGAUUAAUCGCCUUUAGAGCGGCCCGCGUCUGAUUAGCUAGUUGGUUGAGGUAAUGGCUCACCAAGGCGACGAUCAGUAGCUGGUCUGAGAGGAUGAUCAGCCACAUUGGGACUGAGACACGGCCCAAACUCCUACGGGAGGCAGCAGUGGGGAAUCUUGCGCAAUGGGCGAAAGCCUGACGCAGCCAUGCCGCGUGAAUGAUGAAGGUCUUAGGAUUGUAAAAUUCUUUCACCGGGGACGAUAAUGAAGGUACCCGGAGAAGAAGACCCGGCUAACUUCGUG
rnacentral:rRNA from 1 species